rnacentral:rRNA from 1 species
UGGGGAAUAUUGCGCAAUGGUCGAAAGACUGACGCAGCGACGCCGCGUGUGGGAGGAAGCCUUUCGGGGUGUAAACCACUGUCAGGGGGGAAGAAUCCCGGAUGUUCGAAUAGGGCAUCCGAUUGACGGUACCUCCAGAGGAAGCGCCGGCUAACUCCGUGCCAGCAGCCGCGGUAAGACGGAGGGCGCAAGCGUUGUUCGGAAUUACUGGGCGUAAAGCGCACGCAGGCGGCCUGUUAAGUCCUUUGUGAAAGCCCGGGGCUCAACCCCGGAACUGCAUCGGAUACUGGCAGACUGGAGACUGGUAGAGGCUAGCGGAAUUCCUGGUGUAGCGGUGGAAUGCGUAGAUAUCAGGAAGAACACCUGUGGCGAAGGCGGCUAGCUGGGCCAGUUCUGACGCUGAGGUGCGAAAGCGUGGGGAGCAAACA